rnacentral:rRNA from 1 species
CGUGGAGGUAAAUCGGAAUUACUGGGCGUAAGCGCGCGUAGGCGGUUUAUUAAGUCAGAUGUGAAAGCCCCCGCCUCAACCUGGGAAUUGCAUUUGAGACUGGUAGGCUAGAGUGUGGUAGAGGUGAGUGGAAUUUCAGGUGUAGCGGUGAAAUGCGUAGAGAUCUGAAGGAACAUCAGUGGCGAAGGCGACUCACUGGGCCAUUACUGACGCUGAGGUGCGAAAGCGUGGGUAGCAAACAGGAUUAGAUACCCUGGUAGUCCACGCCCUAAACGAUGUCAACUAGGUGUAUGGAGAAUUUAUUCUUUGUGUAUCGAAGCUAACGCGAUAAGUUGACCGCCUGGGGAGUACGGUCGCAAGACUAAAACUCAAAUGAAUUGACGGGGGCCCGCACAAGCGGUGG